rnacentral:rRNA from 1 species
GACGAACGCUGGCGGCGUGCUUAACACAUGCAAGUGGAGCGACGAACCGGGGCUUGCCCCGGGGCAGAGCCGCGAACGGGUGAGUAACACGUGGGUUACCUACCCCAAUGACCGGGACAACCCGAGGAAACUCGGGCUAAUACCGGAUGUGGUCUUCGGACGAAAGGAAGCUUCGGCCUCCGCAUUGGGAUGGGCCCGCGGCGCAUUAGCUUGUUGGUGGGGUAACGGCCUACCAAGGCGACGAUGCGUAGCUGGUCNGAGAGGACGAUCAGCCACACUGGGACUGAGACACGGCCCAGACUCCUACGGGAGGCAGCAGUGGGGAAUCUUGCGCAAUGCGCGAAAGCGUGACGCAGCAACGCCGCGUGGGGGAAGAAGGCCUU